CCCUUAGAUGUCCUGGGCAGCACGCGUGCUACAAUGAUGCAUUCAACGAGUCUUGCCUUAACCGAAAGGUUCGGGUAAACUUUUGAAAUUGCAUCUUGUCGGGGCUUGAUCAUUGUAAUUUUUGAUCACAAACAAGGAAUUCCUUGUAAAUGUGAGUCAUCAACUUGCAUUGAAUACGUCCCUGCCCUUUGUACACACCGCCCGUCGCUCCUACCGAUUGAAUGUUCCGGUGAGCUCUUCGGACUGCGCGGUCUGCAGUUUCUGCGUUCCGUGCGGAAAGUUGCGCAAACCUUAACAUUUAGAGGAAGGAGAAGUCGUAACA
rnacentral:rRNA from 1 species